AUGGUAGUAAUAAUGGUAGUAAUAGUGUUAGUCCAAAUAACAACAAAAGUAAUACUACACCUACUACUACCACCACCACUACUACUACCACCACCAAUAAUAAUAAUAAUAAUAUUGGUAAUAAUAUUAAUAUUGGUAAUAAUAUUAAUAUUGGUANNNNNNNNNNAUAUUGGUAAUAAUAUUAAUAUUGGUAAUAAUAUUAAUAUUGGUAAUGGUAAUGGUAAUGGUUUUGGUAAUGGUUUUGGUAAUGGUUUUGGUAAUGGUUUUGGUAAUGGUUUUGGUAAUAGUUUUGGUAAUAGUUUUGGUAAUGGUUUUGGUGAAAAUAAGAAUGAACAUGAACGUUCAGGUAAAAAGGAUCAAACUGGUAAUGGAAGUAGUAAUAGUAUUAGUAUUGAUAAAAAGAAGAAACAUGUAGUUGAAUGUGGUGAUAUUUGUACAUUUGAACACAGUAAUAACAAAAAACACAGUGAUAGUGAUGAUAAUAAUGAAAAUAAUGAAAAUAAUGGAAAUAAUGAAAAUGGUGGUAAUAAUAACAGUAAUAGUAAUAACAGUAAUAGUAAUAAUGGUGAAUGCAAUAAUGGAAGUAGUGGUAAUAAUAGUAGUGGUAAUAAUGGAUGUAAUAACUGUACAAAUAGCAACAGUAAUAAUAAUAAUAAUAAUAAUAAUAAUAAUAGUAGUAGUGGUAGCAUUAGAAAUAAUAUACAUAUGGACGACCUCUUUAAGCAAAGUGAAAAUAGUCCCAUACAAAAAUAUAAUAAAAUGGAAAAUAAUAUUAUUACUGGUCAUACAAAUGAAUGUAAUAAAGAAGAAAAACCAAAUAAAAUAAAAAAUGAUGUAAACUACAUGAAAAAUUUAGAAAAAAAAAUGGUUAAUUAUAUAUCAAAUAAUAACAUACAUAAAACAUUUUUGGGUAUAACUAAUAUAAAAGAACAUAGUUGCAAUAGUAAUGUUACUACGAUUAAUAAUAACAGUGACAGUAAUUAUAGUAGUAACAAUAAUAAUAUUAGUGAUAAUAGGAACAAUUUGUAUGGUAACUGUUUGAUUAAUUCGAAAGAUGGUAAUGUCAUUUCGAGUAAUAAAAUCACAACGAAUGUUAUUAAUGAACAAAGUUCUGCAAAUAUAAAAAAAACAAUUAUAACAACUGUACCUAAUAGUAGUAGUAACAGUAACAGUAACAGUAACAGUAAUAGUAAUAAUAUGAUAAACAUAAAGAAAAAUAGUGACAAUAUUAAUUUUGAAAAUAAUAUCAUUGAACUGAACCUUAUGAACUCCAAUGAAUUAAAUAAAUUAAAACGAAUAAAAAAUAAAAAUUGUAUAUCAGAUCAACAAAAGUUACAAACAGAAGAAAAUAAAAAUCUAUUCAAUAUUGUAUCACCUAUAAGCGUAAAUAAAGUUACAAAUUGUACAAAAGAACAUAAUACAAGUUAUUAUACUUGUUUAGGUUUGAGUAAAGAGGAUAUUUUGAAACAAAAUGAACUGGAAAAGAAUAGAAAUAAAAAAUUAAGUCAAAGUUUAAAUAAUGUUGAUGAGAAAAGAUAUAUAAAGGAAUCUGACAAUUCGUUUAACUCUUAUAUUAAUUAUAAUAAUGAUGGAGAAGGCAAUCGUAAAAGUAGUAACAGUAGUAGUAACAAUAGUAGUAGUAGUAGUAGUAAUAAUGAUAGGGACGAUAAAAAAAGAAAAUACAAUGUGUUGAACAACAAUGAGUUAAACAUUAAUGAAGAAAUAAGUUUUAACAGGAAAGGAAAAAAUAUUUCAAAACAAAAUAAUACAAUAACAAAAAGAAUAAUAAGUGGUGGUAGUGAUGCUACAAAUUUUAGUAACAACAUUAUAAGAUGUAAUAGUGGCAGUAAUAAUACAAGUAAAUAUAACUUAAAUGAAAAAAAUGAAAAAAAACACAUGAUGGGACACGAUGGAGAUAAUAUGUGUAAUUUAUAUGGAGUAUAUAACAAUGCAACUAGUGGUAAGGUAGAUGUUACAAGUUUUGAAAAUAAAUGUGAUGUGGAUGGUUAUAAUAAUAAUAAUAAUAAUAGGAAUGUUUGUAGCAUUAGUAGUAGUAAUAGUAUUAACAUUGGUGGCAGUUCCCAAACCGUAAGUAAUAACCAAACUGCAAGUAAUAAAAAAAAUGUAAAUAAUAACGAAAUCGUAAAUAAUAGUAUUAAUACGGGUGAUAGUAUGAUAAGAAGUAAUAGCAAUGUAACUGAAGGUUGUUACAUGAAUAUAAAGACUGGUAAUCAAACACCAUAUAAAAGUGAUAGAAUGGAUGGAAAUGUACAAAGGAAUAAUGUUAAUGAUAUGACAGAUCAACAUCUUGUUACAAAUAAUUUUUUAUUUAAUCCGUUUAAUAAUAAUAAUAAUAAUAAUAAAAUAGAUGUAAAAAUAAAUACAAAUUCGAGUGGUAUAAAUGACAAUAACAUGAAAAAUGUCAAUUAUUUUUUUAAUAGUAUAAAUAAUAAUAGUAUAAAUAAUAAUAGUAUAAAUAAUAAUAGUAGUAAUAGUAGCAGUAGUAGUAAUGUUUGUAAUGGUGGUAGUAGGUAUAAUAAUAGCGGUAUUAUGGAUGCAACUUAUAUUAAGAAUAAUAACACAACCAGAGCAUCUUCCAACGAGUGCAACAUUAAUAACAGUUGUAGUAACAACUGUAGUCACAACAUUAGUAACUGUAUUGGAAAAGAUAAAAACGGAAAUAAUAUUGACAUAUAUAAAGAGAACUCCGAAUUAAAAAUAAAAUAUAAUAAUUAUGACCAAUACAUAAAUAAUGAAAAUAAUAAAAAAUAUAGUAGUAACAAUAAUGGUAGUUAUAAUGAAAAUGCUUCAAGUAAUGACAACAAUUAUAACAGUAGAGGUAACAUACAUAGAGUAAGUAAUAGUGAAGGAAGUAGUAACUACAUUGAAGGUAGUGAUGUUGUUGAUAACAUUACUUUUAAUUUCUCAAAUAGAGAACCUAUGAACAGUGUUAAUAAUAAAUUAAUAAAAAUGUCAGAUGUAAAAAUAAAACAUCACAUAAAUGAUACAAAUAUUGGUCCUACUUCUAUAUUAAAUGAAAAUAAUAUGAACAAAAAUGAUAAUAAUAACAUAAAUAAAAAAAAUUUAAGUGAAGAUUAUAAUGUAAUAAAUGAAAGAGGAAAGUAUGGAAACUUUAUAAAUAAUGUAAAACAUAGUUUGAAUAUAUGUGUACAAAAUCAAUUUAAUGUAAAUAUAUCGGAAAAAAAAACAUCUUUACAAUAUGUUAAUGAAAGUAUUAACAAUGUAACAAAUAGUAAUACUCCAACAAACAGUUUGACAAAUACUCCAACAAACAGUUUGACAAACAAUUUUACAAACAGUUUAACAAACAAUUUUACAAACAGUUU
ensembl:lncRNA